rnacentral:rRNA from 1 species
UACAGAGGUCUCAAGCGUUGUUCGGAUUCAUUGGGCGUAAAGGGUGCGUAGGCGGCGCGGUAAGUCGGGUGUGAAAUCUCGGAGCUUAACUUCGAAACUGCAUUCGAUACUGCCGUGCUUGAGGACUGGAGAGGAGACUGGAAUUUACGGUGUAGCGGUGAAAUGCGUAGAUAUCGUAAGGAAGACCAGUGGCGAAGGCGGGCCUCUGGACAGUUCCUGACGCUGAGGCACGAAGGUCAGGGGAGCAAACAGG